GCUGUCUCCACCCGAGACUCAGUGAAAUUGAAAUCGCAGUGAGGAUGCUGUGUAUCCGCGGCUAGACGGAAAGACCCCGUGAACCUUUACUACAGCUUCACAGUGGACUUUGACAUAACUUGUGUAGGAUAGCGGGGAGGCUUUGAAACUGUGACGCCAGUUACAGUGGAGCCAAUCUUGAAAUACCAGCCUGGUUAUGUUGAGGUUCUAACUCAGACCCCUGAUCGGGGCCGAGG
rnacentral:rRNA from 1 species